AACGCACCUUGCGCCCCUUGGUAUUCCGAGGGGCAUGCCUGUUUGAGUGUCAUUAAAUUCUCAACUCCAUUUGAUUUGUUUCAAACCUGGAGCUUGGACUUGGAGCGUGCUGGCGUUAACCGUCGGCUCCUCUCAAAUGCAUCGGCGGAAUUGAACCUUUGACCUCCGGAUGUCAGUGUGAUAAUUAACGUUGCGCUGUCGACCGGGAGUUGGAGUCCGCUUACAAUCGUCCUCGGACAACUUAUCAAAUUUGACCUCAAAUCAGGUAGGACUACCCGCUGAACUUAA
rnacentral:misc_RNA from 1 species